CCGAAGAUGGUCCAAUACCAUUAGGAUUGAAAGUAUGGAAGAACAUACCGUUGGUCGAAGAUACACAUGUGAUGGUGCUAAACCCGGUAGAUAUCGGGUAGGGGUCCCAAGCUGGUGAUCUUGGUACGAUGGUAACAUGACAAAGAAUGGACACGGUAUUUACUCAGGUUCGGGCUCUCUUAAAGAGGUAAAACCCUUUGUCUUGCUUUGUUGUAUUGAUUGUGGAUGGGGUAUAGAGUACAUGUUGAUCUACCUCGAGAUCAUAUGUGUGAAUGAACCUCUUUGUAGAUCUAAUGAUCUAAGUUGUAAUGAUCUAUUGACUAUCCUGGCGUCGGUUUAUAUAAUGUACCGGAGGCCUAGGAUUUAGAAGAGUCCUCGUCCUGUGCGCCAAGUCUUGUGGAAUAUCCAUUGUAUAUGUCAUGGGCUGCCCGAAGAAUCUUAGUAAUUAAUCGCCACGAGGGUCCUCGGCCCGGCCCUCCUGUCCGUGAGACGACAUGGCGAGCACCCCCAACAUGUUCCUUCUGGUCCAUAAAAAACCUCCGUAAAGUUUUGUGGCAUUUGGACUCCGUCUGAUAUUGAUUUUUUGCGAUGUAAAAAACAUGGAAAAACAGGAACUGACACUUGGCACUAUGUCAAUAGUUUAGUACCAAAAAAUGAUAUAAAAUGACUAUAAAAUGAUUAUAAAACAUCCAAAAUUGAUAAUAUAACAACAUGGAACAAUAAAAAAUUAUAGAUACGUUGGAGACGUAUCAGCAUCCCCAAGCUUAACUCCUACUCGUCCUCGAGUAGGUAAGUGAUAAAAAUAGAAUUUUUGAUGUGGAGUGCUGUUUAACAUGUCAUAUCAUAUUCUUUUCUUUAUAGCAUGGACAUUUGGACUUUUUAUGUGAUUCAAAGCAAUAGUCUAGUUUUGACAUAAUAAUUUAGAUACUCAAGCAUAUCAACAAGCAACCAUGUCUUUCAAAAUAUCAACGCUAAAAUAAGUUAUCCCUAGCCCAUCAUGAUCAAACUUUGAUCCAUUCAUGAAACACACUCAAAUAUUAGCUACACCCAAUACUUAAGUACGAUCAUAUUGCCUCCUAGUUGGUGCUUUUUAUAAGAGAAAAUGGAGACUCAAAUUCAAAAAUAAAAAUUGCAUAAAGUAGAAGAAAGGCCCUUCGCAGAGGGAAGUAGGGAUUUGUAGAGGUGCCAGAGCUCGAAGCGAAAAACUUAGAGAUAAAUACAUUUUGGGAGGUGUAUCCAUCCCACCAACUAAUAGUUCCCAAUACUUUUCAUGCAUAGAUAUAUCAUAGGCGGUUCCCAAACAGAAAAUAAAGAUUAUUCCUUUUUCCACCAUAACUUUCACUUUCCAUGGCUAACCGUAUCCACGGAUGCCCUCCAUACCAACACUUUCCAAGGAAUUUAUUAUUUGACAACAUAAAGUAAAUUCAUUUUUGCAUUUCGGGACUGGGCAUCCCUAAUACCUUUGCUUUACUCUCGUGUAAUGACAAGUGAAUAAACACUCAUCUUGAGAAUAACAUAUCUAGCAUGGAAAAUAUUAGCCACCCCUCACCGCUCCGCGAGCGAAACAAACACACAAAAAAGAAGUUUAUUUUGAAAAUUAGAGAUGACACAUACAAAUUUGCUUAGAACAACAAAAGAAUACCACAUAUAGGUAGAUAUAGUGGACUCAUGUGGCAAAACUGGGUUAAAGGUUUUUGGAUGCACAAGUAGUGAUCAUACUUAGUGCAAAAUGAAGGCUAGCAAAAGAUUGGGAAGUGACCAACUAAGAAACAGAUAAUCUCAUAAGCAAGCAUUAAGCAUAAUCAACACCGAAUAAUGCACCACAAGUAGGAUAUAAUUUUCAUUGCAUGAUUAUUGACUUUCGUGCAUGCAUAGGGAAUCACAAACCUUAACACCAAUAUUCUUACUAGAGCACAAUUGCUCAUCAACAUAACUCACAUAUCACAUCAUCAUAUCUCAAAACUAUUACUAAGAAUCAAUUUUAUUUUGUCCAAUGAUCUUCAUGACAUUUUUUUCUUUAUCCUUCUUGGAUAUCUAUCACUUUGGGACUAAUUUUCAUGUGUUUCUUUUCAUAAGCUCAAACAAAUAUAAGUGAAGAUCAUGAGCAUAAUAAAUUUUUCUUUCUCUCAAAAUAAUUUAAGUGAAGCAAGGGAGAAUUUCUUCGAAAAUACUAAGCACACCAUGCUCAAAAAGAUAUAAGUGAAGCACUAGAGCAAGUCCUAGCUCAUAAAAAAAUUUAAGUGAAGUAUAGAAAGCAAUUCUAACAAGUCAUGACAUAAUUUUGGCUCUCUCUAAUAGGUGUGUCCAGUAAGGAUUGAUGACUUAAAACACAAAAUAAAACAAGCAAAGACUCAUAUCAUACAGGACGCUCCAAGCAAAAAACAUAUCAUGUGACGAAUAAAAAUAUAGUUUCAAGUAAAAUACCGAUGAUUGUUGGAAGAAAGCGGGGAUGCCACUCGGGGGCAUCCCCAAGCUUAGUUGGUUGCUCAUUUUUGGAUAAUAGCUUGGGAUGCCGGGGCAUCCCUCAGCUUAGGCUCUUCCAUCCUUCCUUCAUCCAUCGUAAGAUAACCCUAAACUUGAAAACUUAAAUCACACAAAACUCAACAAAACCUUCGUGAGAUCCGUUAGUAUAAGAAUAAUAAACCACUACUAUAAGUGUUGUAUCAAACCAAUUCAUAUUUUGUUUUUGUAUUAUAUCUACUAUAUUCCAACUUUUUUAUGGAAAAAACUCAUCAAAGAAAACCAUAGAGCCAUCAGAAUAAGCACACAACACAAAGAAACCAGAAUAUGUCAAAAGAGAACAAUCUGUAGCAAUCUGACUAUUUCGAAUACUUCUGUAACUCCAAAAAUUCUAAAAAAUUAGGAAGACCUGAGAAAUAUGUAUAUUGAUCUACUUCAAGUGGAACAGGUAUUUUAUCGCUCUUUGGUAAAAUAUAAAAAUUAAUCUUGUGAGCGUAAAAGUUUCUAUUUUUUCAGCAAGAUCAAACAACUAUCAUCCAAGAAGAUCCUAAAGGCUUUACUUGCACAAACACUAAUUAAAACACAAAAAAUACAAUCAUAAUAGUAGCAUAAUUAUGCUAACACACAAAACCAGAAAGCAAAAAGCAAAAAUAUAUUUUAUUCAUUUGGUUGCCUCCCAACAAGCGCUAUAGUUUUACGUCCAUAGCUAGGCAUAAAGCAAUGAUCUAAGUUUUGUCAUCUUUGGUUCGAGAUCCAUAAGAUGCCCUCAUGAUUGAUUCAUAAGGUGGCUUAAUUCUAAUUCUAGGAAAGUGUUCCUGUGACGCCCCGAGACCGACGCUUCAGAAGACUUCCAUAUUUUGGUGAUCGCCGUGUGUUUCAUUUGUGCUUGCUCUUUUAUCUUUGCAUUGCAUCAUGUCAUCAUGCCAUCAUGUCAUUAAUCUUUGCAACUCAAAUAAAUAAAAUGUAUGGAUUUUCAGUCCAUUUAAACCGAGGGAAUUCACAUGGUGAUUCUCUUUAUAACAUAUCCUCCCAAUAUUAGGGAGCUAUAUUAAAUAUUCCAUUUUCGGAAUCACCCAUAAACACACUUGCAAAUAAUCACAUGCCUUUUCCCGCUUCAAGUUUGGUCCCCAAACUUUGAACAUAUUUUCUUUCAUCGCUUUCCUGAUCUCCACAAAAAAUCCGAAUAUUUUUGGACACUCUGAAAUCCUACACUCCAUUCAUACUACUUUGGUGCAAGUUAAAUAAUUUUGGAUUUAAGUUCCCUGAUUUUUGCCGGAACCAUUUUUGUUGGGUUGGAAAUAUUCCAUUUAGCCCUACAGAAUAUGUCCCACCAUCUAAUUCUUGUUCAUGGUCUUUUCUCUUAAUUAUUUUGACCUCUCUCUCUCUAUUUUUUUCUUCAUCUAAAGGGAAUAAGGGAGAGAGGAAGAGACCAGCCAAACCUCUUGGGCCUCCUAUAGCCGGCGGCCACUAGGCCAAGGCCCAGUCGAACCUCCCUUGCCUAACCCUAGCCCGUAGCCCCGCACUCUGCUCGUUCCCCUCCUCUCGAUCUCUCCAUCUCGUCCCCCACACCGCCGCCACUCACACACACACACAGACACACACACACACACACACACACGCAUCGGGCCAGGGAGAGGAGCUCCCUGCACCUGAUCCCCUCGCCGCCUCCACCGCGAGACCCCCACGUCCGACCUCCUCCUUGCCGCCCUUGGUGCCGCGCCACCGGACCUUACCAUCGCCCUCAUCGUCGACCAUCACUGCCCCUGCAGCCUCCCCUCCUCUGCGUCGUUGCCUCCCAUGGUGCCGCGCCCGGCCUCCCGCGCCACCACCAUCUCCAGUCGCAUGCAUCGUCACCUUCCCCUCGUCGGCCUCCUCUGCAUCGCCCGGCCUCCCUUCGUCUGCUCCCUUCGCACCUCCGGCCGCCCCUUCGCGCGCCCUAUGCCACAGCCGCCCGACGCCUCUGCUUGUCCCGCUCCUCAUGGCCGGCGUAGAGCUUCCAGCCUCCGACAGCAGCAGCUACAAGUCCGGCAGUCCUAGCAGCGUCAUGGCCUUGCCUCCUCCAUCAGCUACUCCACCCUCGGCCAUCCCCAUGACCACCAUCUGCGCCACCUAUGCCUGCUGUCGCCGCCACCCUCGCUAGCUCCGCGUCCGUGCCUCUGCUGCUGGUCCUUGCUGUCGAGAGACUCGUCGACGGCCUCCUCCUUGCCUCUGCACGCCGGCACCUGUUGUUGCUGGACGCAAGUUUGCCCAUGAUGUAUAUGCCAAGACCCCGAGAUCGACUUCACGAACUGGAAGUACCCCUUUGAGUUCGUCAAGGCCCUCAUGUACCACUACAGCCGGUGUGUUUUUUGUCAAGUCCAACUACGACAUAAACGACUACACAAUGACUCCGAAGAACAUGGAAACGCCAAGUUCCCCUCCGAACAUGAACGACUACACCCAGGGAUGGGACUAGUACCCCGACAACGUGUACCACUACGCCCAAUUUCCAUUACCGAAGACCGCGAGUACAACUACGUCCACAGCGCGUCGUGUAUGACUACCGUCGCUUGGGUGCAACGAAACACCAAGUACCACGACGACAAUCGACAUGUACCCCUACACCGCACCGAAACACCGAGUACCUCGUCGUGACCCCGAACAUCUACGGAAACUUGUGCGACUAUGAACAUGAACAACUACCAUCGUCGUGGAUCCGACAAGUUUGCAAGUACAACUACUUCCUCUGCGACCCGUGAGAACAACUACUUUCACCACCGUCGCGAGAACAACUACUUCCCUCGACGUACCCGAAACGCUCCGAGAAUGCACCCUUGGAAGGUAUAACCGCCGGAACGAUGCCCAUGAACGAAUGCAUGUGUUGUAUGAGAUGCAUGUUUAGAUGUUGUAUUCGCCCGUGAACGUUAGUUGUUCCUCCUCGUUGCCAUGCCGUCCACCCGUAGGAACCUGGUUACUGGGAUCACCCCCACCAUCUUUUGCACGCUCCCGCCACACUACCUUUUGCAUCGGUAUCUCCGUGAGCUACCGGAACCGAUAUGUUGCCGUGGUAUCAUUUUCGGAUUCAUUGCAGUGGCACCCCUUUUCGUUUCCGCCACAAUGACAAAUGCUUCAUAAUAUGCUCAUGUCAACAUUCUCAUAAAAUUGCAUAAACUUGCAUAUGUCAUCCGCAUCAUGAUAACAACAUCAAGAAUGUUUAAAAUUGGUGUUUGCAUUAAAUUGCUAAUGCACAUGAGGAUUUAUCGGAAUUGUUGUUUGAUGUUUCUGGCCUCAUUUAAAAUGCCUAACUGUGUAUUCUACUCAUGUUUCACCUCUUGCCAUGUUAACAACAUUUAAUAUUGUUGAGUUCAUAACCGAGGUCGAACUAAAUAAGUCAUGUGGUGUUUCGUCAAUAUGCAACUCGUUGCAUAUUGAGCUCCACUUAAUUUGUAGUAUUGUUUGUUGCACUUUGCCAUGCCAUGCCUUGUUAAACCAGACAUGCAUCAUACUUGGUUGUGCAUUAUGCCAUGUUUAUGUGAUGGUUGUUUACUAUAUUGUUUGCUUCUUUCCGGGUUGCUUCUCUCGUUAGCUUUGGUUCCGUUCCGGAGUUGUGAGGAUUCGUUCAACUACGUACGUUUGUCUUCUUCAUGGACUCGUUCUUCUUCCUUGCGGGAUCUCAGGCAAGAUGACCAUACCCUCGAAAUCACUUCUAUCUUUGCUUGCUAGUUGCUCGCUCUAUUGCUAUGCCGCGAUACCUACCACUUGUUAUAUCAUGCCUCCCAUAUUGCCAUGUCAAACCUCUAACCCACCUUUCCUAGCAAACCGUUGUUUGGCUAUGUUACCGCCUUUGCUCAGCCCCUCUUAUAACGUUGCUAGUUGCAGGUGAAGAUGAAGAUUGUUCCAGGUUUGUACAUGGAUAUUGUUGGGAUAUCAUUAUUAUAUCUUUUUUUACUUUAAUGCACCAAUAUACUUGGUAAAAGGUGGAAGGCUCGGCCUUAUGCUUGGUGUUUUGUUCCACUCUUGCCGCCCUAGUUUCCGUCAUACCGGUGUUUUGUUCCUUGAUUUUGCGUCCCUUAUGCGGUUAGGUGUUAUGGGAACCUCUUAACAGUUUGCUUUGAAUAAAACUCCUCCAGCAAGGUCGAACCUUGGUUUUACCAUUUGCCUCACCACCACCUAUACUUUUCCCUUGGGAGUUGCGCUCCCGAGGGUCAUCUUACUUUACCCCUCGGGCCAGUGCUUCUCUAAGUGUUGGUCCGAACCAGAGCACCGUGCGGGACCAUCCCUUGGCAACUUGGGUUAUGUUGGUACGUAUACGCUUAGCUUAUCCGGUGUUGCCCUGAGAAUGAGAUAUGUGCAGCUCCUAUCGGGAUGUCGGCACAUCGGGCAGUCUUGCUGGUCUUGUUUUACCAUUGUAGAAAUGUCUUGUAACUGAGAUUCCGAGACUGAUCGGGUCUUCUCGGGAGAAGGAAUAUCCUUCUUUGACCGUGAGAGCUUGUGAUGGGCUAAGUUGGGACACCCCUAUAGGGUUUGAAGUUUCGAAAGCCGUGCCCGCAGUUAUGGGCAGAUGAGAAUUUAUUAAUAUUCGAUUGUAGAGAACUUGACACUUGACUUAAUUAAAAUGCAUCAACCGCGUGUGUAGCCGUGAUGGUCUCUUCUCGGCGGAGUCUGAGAAAUGAACACGGUUCUUGUGUUAUGCUUGAACGUAAGUAGUUUCAGGAUCACUUCUUGAUCACUUCUAACUUCUCGAUCGUUGCAUUGCUUCUCUUCUCGCUCUUAUUUGCGUAACUUAGCCACCAUAUAUGCUUAGUGCUUGCUGCAGCUCCACCUCACUACCCUUUCCUACCCAUAAACUUAAAUAGUCUUAAUCUCGCGGGUGUGAAAUUGCUGAGUCCUCGUGACUCACAGAUACUUCCAAACAGUUGCAGGUGCCGAUGAUACCAGUGCAGAUGACGCAACUGAGCUCAAGUGGGAGCUCGAAGAUCUUUUUGUUACUAUGUUUCUUUUCCGGAUGAUCAGUAGUGGAGCCCAUUUGGUGCGAUUGGGGAUCUAGCAUUUGUGGUUGUCUUUCUUAUUUUGGGUUCCGUUGUCGGACCUUGUUUGCAUUCUGGAUGAUGUAUGAUCUAUUUAUGUAUUGUGUGAAGUGGCGAUUGUAAGCCGACCUGUGCGCAGGAGGCGAAGGUGAAGUUAGGAGUAAGCAGGUAAGGAGAGGAAGAGAAACAAAAGGAGUCCAUGUGGGAGAGGGUGAGGUUUACUUAAUCAAAUGGCUACAUAGAUAGCUUGAAGGUAGACCAGACAGAUGUUAUUCCGACAAAUUCUCUAGGAUUAACGCGAGUCCUCGAAAGGAGCCUCUAGUUAGUACUCCUUCCGUUCCAAAAUAGAUGACUCAACUUUGUAUAAAGUUAGUACAAAGUUGAGUCAUUUAUUUUGGAACCGAGGGAGUAACUCUUAAGAUAGUGGUGCUUUAUUACUGUGUUGCAACUUAGCAAUAAAUCAAUUUUAAUCAAUCUGCCUUGACUCUUGCUGGAUCUGUCAGCCAUCGAAUACUUCCAGGCCUGGUUGUGACCAUCUAUCUGAGAAGUGGCUGUUUACACUAGCGGAGCUAAAUAGUUCUCACUACAUGUCAGAUUGUAUAGAGGACAACUCCAGAAGUCAAGGUCUAUAUAUAUUUCCAGUUUGGGUAAUAAUUGUUUGCUUACCUUGUCCUUUCAGUUGCUUCAUUGUUGCUGUAUAUGUCAGGUCCUGAAGACAGUCCAGCAUCAGUAGGAUUGAAAGUAUGGAAGACCGUGCCAUUUGUUGAAGAUACACUCGUCUCUGGAACAGAAGCUGUAGAACUUGUUGCCUGACUACUGAAACAUUGUUGUGAAACACACUUGGUCCAGCACCAAUAGGUUUUGGUCUCUGCCCACUGAAACGUCAUUUUUCCUGUGUUGGCUCUUUUCUCUUGGUGGAAACAUUGUUGGUCUGAGCUGCCAUUCAAUGGCUGGCAUUACAUUACCAUAUGUAUCUUCAGAGUUUGUUUGCACAACAAUGGCUGGUAUUUUUAUCAAGGAAAGCACACUCUUAAUCUAUCUAGAAUGUUAUAUGGGAUGCAAUGCACUUGAGGUGGUUCUCAGCCACAAAUGACGGUCGACAGUCAAGGGGAAUGUACUAGGCUUCCUAGAACAAUUUAGCUCGUUCUUCAAUCUCUAGGAUGAUGUGACCGCAAUAACAUCCUCUCCUGCAACGAUUCAAGUUCUUUGCCACUGAGCAGUCGUCAACCCACCAAAUCACGCAUACCAGAUCGCCCACACUGUCAAGCACUUUCACCCUAUUCUUCAUGUUUCAAGUGAUCAAUCAGAGUAAAAGGUCAUUCCAGUUUAUGGGGUUCUCGCCGGUUCUGCAAUAGUUUGGUCACGUACUCGUCAGCCACAGCCCAUAGACACACUGACAUUGUGCACUCCAGACGGGAAUGCCUUACCCUUGAGGAAUCCAUGUGACCGUGUAUCUUGCAUCUCGUGUAACAUGCAUUCCUAUGAACUACUUCCUCCGUAUCGAUGCAUUAAUCAUUUUACGAAAACCAUAUAGUCUCAAAACACUCUGGGGUGGUGCAUUAACUCUCACCUUAUUUCUUAUUUCUUGACAUGAAUAAAUGAAUCAACCAAUAAGAGAUGUGGGGCGUGUAUGUUUUUAAUGAGUUGAGACUACCUACCACGGCAUGCAGUGGUUAAUUCAUUGCAUGCAAUGGUAUUAAUUAGCUAAUGAACAUUACGCUCUCUUGUUUUCCCUUCGUUUUGGUCCUGAUGCACAACGUAAGAUGACUUAGACUACCCAUAGUGGGGAGUAACUUUAGUAACAUGCAUAUGUUACUAGUCUAUGUUACUACCUGCAUAACGAGGAGUAACAUAUGUAUGGUGUCAUGCAAUACUCCAUUUAUUAGGUUAUAGACUCAUCUUGUUUUGGUAUGUGUGAUGUUACUCAUAGUAUGAAUAACAUACAAUGUUACCAUAUGCCUCUUUUUCCUUAUUAAUUUCUUGCCACAUCAUCUAUCAUCUAUUUUACCUAGUUAUGUGUGAUGUUAUCAUCUACUUUACUCUCACUAUGGAGUACGGAGAGAGUGGCAUGAUUCUGCCGUGAGAAGUGAGUGCUUGGCAAGCCGCGACAAAAAUACCCUGAUCUUUACCGGCACUUGGACUCUUCAAAGAGAUGCCCAGUUCUUCUCCAACUGUCUUGUUGGAGUUCGACGCUCUACCUUCCAGCCACGCCUCCCAUCUUCCCUUGGUGCAAGCGAGCAUGAUGAGAACACUUGUUUGCAAAUAGUUUUACUUGUUUUAAGUACCACUUUAUGUAUUACCUUUAACAAAUUUUCCACGGCAAUGCGCAGGGAUCAUCUAAUAGUAUACAAAUAGGUACCCCGAUAGAAAAAAGAUACGUGGGCUCAAUCAGUAGCGGAGAGCGGCAUGGAAGUAAGAUGGGGCCAAUUGAUAAGCCAAAUUAAUAGCACUGGCAAAAUAAUAAAAAUUGUCUCACAUGGGCCAACAAUUACAGAUUUAUUAGGCCUCGUAAGCGGGUUGCGCCUUCCCCUCAGAAGCUCCCCUCCUGAGUUCAACCUUAUUUUUUCUGAGAUACAGGUCCAUUAAUGUACAUGUCUAGUGUCUUAUACUAGUGUGAUUUAUAGAAUUCAAUGCAUAUUUCCAAAGUGCGAUGCAAUAUUGUAGCAAUUUGCCGUUAAUGUUGUAGCUUGUAGAUGUGCAACUAAUGUAUACAUUUAUUUUUUGAUGCAGUACCAUAUCUUAAAAAGUUAAUAUAAUUAAUCUAAUGUUGUAGCCCGUAGAUGUGCAAUUAAUGUACACAUUCCUUUUUUGAUGCAGUAAUAUAUCUUCAAGAUAUAUAUAAUUAAUGUAAUGUUAUACGCCCGUAGAUGUGCAACUAAUGUACACAUUCAUUUUUUUGAUGCAAUACCAUAUCUUCAAGAUAUAUAUAAUAAUGUAUUGUUGUAGCGUGUAGAUAUGCAACUAAUGUACACAUUCAUUCUUUUCAUGCAGUGCCAUAUCUUCGAGAUAUAUCAUAUAUACAACUAAUGUGUGUAAAACAUGUCGAUAUGAAGUUAAUGUACACAUUUAUUGUUUGAUGCUAUUUCAUAUCUUAAAGGUCUAGCCUGUAGAUAUAAAGUUAAUGUACACAUUCAUUAUUUGAUACAAUAUCGUAUCUUCAAGAUAUAGAACUAAUGUAUGAUGUAGCCUCUGUUGAAACCGCUCUCUCACACUGAUAGAUGGAGAUAGAAGAAGAAGGAGCACACAAUACAAUGGAGUUUCACCCGGCUUCACAUCCCCGUUAGUCUUCCGAGAGCCCCAAAAACUCUCCCCUCAACAAAUACACUCGUGGUCAUGGCUUUGUAGUGGCACAGCAACGCAGCGCCCACGUUUCCUUGUGCGCAUGUACGCACGCCGCCUAGCUAGCUACCCUACAUGCAAUCCAUCAGCCCGGCCAUGCGCACUACAUGCGCGCUACGCGCACGACGCGACCAUCUCCACCGGUCACCACUAACAAUCAGCUAACUAACUCACACGCAACAAGCAAACUUGGCCGGCACACUUGCCAAUGCCCUGCUCUACGUGCCAGACUCGAGUGUAUACACGCUACACACACAUACGCCACGCUUCUGCGUCCCGUACGUCCCGCCCGUCCCGCAUGUCACCGACACGCCCGACAAGCCCGACGAGCCCGACGGCACCAGUGUGCCCCGCCCGUCCCGCGCGCACCCGACGCGCCCGACGAGCCCGAUCACACACGCCGUGGCUUAUUCCAACACACACCACUUAAGCCACGGCCUAGAGGAGUCCGUCAUCGUCGACGUUGGCGCCGGCCAAGAGUGCAUGCUCCGCCGCCGGUCCUUUCCGCAGCUGCGGGCACUCGCGCCGGAAGUGACCGUGCUCCCCGCACUUGUAGCAGCGCCUGCGUCUGUUGCCGCCGCUCCCCGACGCCACGAUGCACCCGUCGUCGUCGUCCCGAGCACCGCCGUGUCGACGCUCCCAUGCUGCCCACUGCGCAGCCGUCAUGAGCAGCUGCUCACCUCCGUGCUCGCCGCCAUCUUGUCCACGGCGCCGAACCCGCUCGUCGAACGCACGCAGCCGCCCGAGCGCUUUGUCGAACGCAAUCAUCGUCACAUCGUGGAACUGCUCGAUGCCGGCGACGACGGGGAAGAGGCGAUCCGGCACCAUAUCCAGCAACUUCUUGACAAGUGCCGCGUCGCCCAGCGUCUCCCCGAGGUUGGCAUACCUCGCCGCCAUCGCCGCGAGCCUCCCGCCGUACACGUCGAGCUCCUCGCCGUCCGCCAUCUUCAUCCGGUCGAAUUCGCCACGCAGCGUCCCCAGCCUCGCCGCGCGGACCCGAUCAGCGCCGACGAACCUCACCUUCAGGGAGUCCCAUACCUCCCUGGCGGUGAGCUUCGUAGACACCUUCAGCAGCACAUCCUCCGGCAAUGCCCCGAGAAGCAACGCGCGCGCCAUCUUGUCCUUCCGCGCGUUCACCGCCGUGUCGCCCGGCGCCACCGCCUCCCACACGGUGUGGACGUCGAGGAUCGCCUGCGCCUUGAUGGCCCAGACCAUGUAGUUGUCCGCGAUCAGCAAAGGCAUCGCCAUAGUCGCCGAUCCGCCCGCGCCGCCGCCGUGUGGGACGAGUGCCAUGGUCGACGGUGAUCGCCCGAACUAAAGCUCUGUAUAUCAAUUGUUGAAACCGCUCUCUCACACUGAUGGAUGGAGACAGAAGAAGAAGGAGCACACAGUACAAUGGAGUUUCACCCGGCUUCACAGCCCCAUUACUUUUCCCAGAGCACCAAAAACUCUCCUCAGCAAAUACACUCGUGGUCAUGGCUUUGUAGUGGCACAACAACGCAGCGCCCACGUUUCCUUGUGCGCACGUACGCACGCCGCCUAGCUAGCUACCCUGCAUGCAAUCCAUCAGCCCGGCCAUGCGCACUACAUGCGCGCUACACGCACGACGUGGCCACAUCCACCGGUCACUGCUAACAAUCAGCUAACUAACUCACACGCAUCAAGCAAACUUGGCUGGCACACUUGCCAACGCCCUGCUCUACGUGCCAGACUCGAGUGUAUACACGCUACACACACAUACGCCACGCUUCUGCAUCCCGCACGUCCCGCACGUCCCGCACGUCACCGACUCGCCCGACAAGCCCGACGAGCCCGACGGCACUAGUGUGUAUCGCCCGUCCCGCGCGCACCCGACGAGCCCGAUCACACAAGCUAUGCCUUAUUCCAACACCUAGAUGUAUAAUUAAUGUAUACAUUAAUUGUCUGACACGGUGCUAUAUCUUCAUGACAUACAACUGGUGUAUGCAUCUGUAUCAUCAUCUCAAAGAAGGCUAUAUAUACCAAGACAUAGCUAGCGAAGUCAUGUAUCCCACACAUUCACAGAAGCCACACAAAUCCUAUAUUGUACGAUUCUAAUAUCAAAGGAAUAGAGAAGGCUCUAGUGUAGGAGAUACAAAAGCCAUAGCCAUGGCGAAACUCAUGUGCUUAUGUUUCAUCAUCCUCGCUAUUGCGGUAGCCGUGUCGGCUGACGAAUGUGAGGGUGACCGACAGGCCAUGAUCAAGGAGUGUGCUAAGUAUCAAAAAUGGCCAGCAAACCCGAAGCUAGAUCCGUCGGACGCAUGCUACGCCGUGUGGCAGAAGGCAAACAUCCCAUGCCUUUGUGCUGGUGUCACCAAGGAGAAAGAGAAGAUAUGGAGUAUGGAGAAGGUUGCCUACGUUGCCAAUUUCUGCAAGAAGCCAUUCCCACAUGGCUACAAGUGCGGAAGUAAGUGAAAUAUAUUAAGGGAAUUAUGAUGAUCGGCAUUUCAUACAUGCAAUUUUGAUAUUUAUUAUUCUUUGGAGUCACACGACUUUGAUUUUAGUUAUGCAUUUUAUAUGCUUCUUGCGCUAUUCUGAUCAUAUGUUGGGUCAAAUUGAAUGGUCUUGCAGGUUACACAUUUCCUCCUCUGGCAUAGUGAUUCUAGUUUAGCCGCGGGAGGAGAAGCAUUGGCUUUUACAUUAUAGGUGUGUGGCCUCACAAGAGCUUCCCUUUCACAUUUGUAAUUCGUGAUGUUUUACUCAUAAUAGUUUAUGUUAAUCACUCUGUAUGAGAACGUUUGUGAAACUAAUAAAGUCUUCUCCUCAAAUUGUCUAAAUUAUGUUUGUUCAUACACAAUAUUUUUGGUUCUAUUUACGGCUCAUUGCAGGUGAAGGGAUCAAGGAUAUUAGAAGAAAUUACUGUAGUUAAAGCAACAACUUUCAUGUGCUUUUUAUGUCCAAAGUUAAUGGGUUCAUUUAUGGCUGAGCUCAACCAAUUUUUCAUCUUAGUAACUCUUAUUCCUGGACCCUGGCUGAUGCAAAGCUCCAAAUAUAACUUACUUUGCUAAAAGUGAGGAGACUCAUGGGGAAGGGGAUGAGAAAGAUAAAUGGCAUAUUCAGUUAGUUGUACGUAUGAUUUCGCACACAAAUCUGGUGUAGUUCGAUUGUCACGGUUUACUUGGAUUUUGCAAUGCGUGCAACGUCUGCUUUGUACAAUGUAUACACUACCAACUUUUUAUCACACGAAGUAUUUCAACUAGCAGCUAGGCUCCCUUAAGGUUCUUUUUAGCUUAUUCUUCUUUAGCUUAAUCUUAGAUUUUCAUUGGCUUGGGCUUGAUGAUUUCCACGUAGACACCGCGUGAGACUAGGUGGGAUGCUCGGGUAGGACUUUUCUAUGACAUGUAUAUCACAAAUUUGGGCAAGAAGGCUCUACUUUUCGUCUCUGUGACUAAGGGAACAUUAAUAUAGAAACAGUUAGAACGUGCAUAGAUAUACAAGAGGGAGGAGGAGAGUUCAGGACAAAAAAUAGUUAAAGGUGGACCAAAGGUAUCACAACAGGGUACCAAAGUAGCCCUAAUUAUAGAAGAUGAGAAACAGAAGGACCAUAGUCUGUUGUCCUCGGCGCAGAUGCGCGACUUCUUUCUAAUAGAAGACACACACAACAUCAUCAGCUAUCAACGUAAUCUGCCAAAGAAGCCUUCAUUAGGAUAGGCAAUUGAUAGAGCACACAUAUGCUUUCUUUGAAAGAGGGUCGACCCCUUUUGGAAAAUAACAACUAAAAGGGUCUAUGAUACAUCACUUGUAUACACAUAGGUCUACUAGGGAGAAUAACCAUUUUUGAAUUUCAACCGUGCGACUUGAGAAGCUCUAGUUUCUACUUGUAGUAGCCUGAGUUGAUCAAUCAUCCAAUUCUCAUUGAUGGCAAUCAUGUUAAGUUGAUUUCCUUCACCACUCUCGCAUUCAAAACAAAGAAAUUGGAAAAGCCAACUUCUUUCUCACCACCUUUGUAAUUCUUCAACACCAUUACUUUGAGAUGGUUCUCAAGGCAUUUCACUGGAUUUAGUAGUGGGUCAGACUGAGGAUGCAAGUUCUUCAUCUUUGCCUUCAAAUACUCCUCUCAUUGGGAAAUGCCAGAUACAUGUUAAAUAGGCAGUUGCUAACUAGACUAGAAUAUAUAAACGAGAAUCAAGAAUUUAUUUCAACAUUUAAGGCAAACAAAGAUGAACACUUACAAUGACAUAGAACUUUUCCAAGAAGGGGAAGCAACUAAGAAGAUUGAGAAUGACAUCCAAAUCAGGGCCAGAAAACUUGAGGGCCAAAAUAUUCCUGGUGCAUAUCGAGUGGCCUAAGAUGGGCCAGACUGUUCCCUAAAAAAUAAAACAAUGGACAUGAGAAACAAUUAUGCAUGCAUCUAGGAUUGCUAGCUGAAUGUGAGAGCCAAUAAGGGUGUUGUUGAUAGCUAGUUGGAUGCGACCAUUUUCCUAGAACUGGCUAUUUACACUCAUAGUGCUAAGUAGUUGUCACUACAUGUCAAUGUGCAUAGAGGACGGCUCCAGAAGUCAGUGUUUGUAUUGCUAUGCCAGCUUGGGGUAAAUAGUAUGUUUAUCUUGUCUGUUCUUUUGUCCACUUCAUUAUUGUUGGUGUAUAUGUUGCAGGUCCCGAAGAUGGUCCAAUACCAUUAGGAUUGAAAGUAUGGAAGACCAUACCGUUGGUCGAAGAUACACAUGUGAUGGUGCUAAACCCGGUAGAUAUCGGGAAGGGGUCCCAAGCUGGUGAUCUUGGUACGAUGGUAACAUGACAAAGAAUGGACACGGUAUUUACUCAGGUUCGGGCCCUCUUAAAGAGGUAAAACCCUUUGUCUUGCUUUGUUGUAUUGAUUGUGGAUGGGGUAUAGAGUACAUGUUGAUCUACCUCGAGAUCGUAUGUGUGAAUGAACCUCUUUGUAGAUCUAAUGAUCUAAGUUGUAAUGAUCUAUUGACUAUCUUGGCCUCGUUUAUAUAAUGUACCGGAGGCCUAGGAUUUAGAAGAGUCCUCGUCCUGUGCGCCAAGUCUUGUGGAAUAUCCAUUGUAUAUGUCAUGGGCUGCCCGAAGAAUCCUAGUAAUUAAUCGCCAUGAGGGUCCUCGGCCUGGCCCUCCUGUCCGUGAGAUGACAUGGCGAGCACCCCCAACAUGUUCCUUCUGGUCCAUAAAAAAUCUCCGUAAAGUUUUGUGGCAUUUGGACUCUGUCUGAUAUUGAUUUUUUGUGAUGUAAAAAACAUGGAAAAGCAGGAACUAGCACUUGGCACUAUGUCAAUAGUUUAGUACCAAAAAAUGAUAUAAAAUGACUAUAAAAUGAUUAUAAAACAUCCAAAAUUGAUAAUAUAACAACAUGGAACAAUAAAAAAUUAUAGAUACGUUGGAGACGUAUCAGCAUCUCCAAGCUUAACUCCUACUCGUCCUCGAGUAGGUAAGUGAUAAAAAUAGAAUUUUUAAUAUGGAGUGCUGUUUAACAUGUCAUAUCAUAUUCUUUUCUUUAUAGCAUGGACAUUUGGACUUUUUAUGUGAUUCAAAGCAAUAGUCUAGUUUUGACAUAAUAAUUUAGAUACUCAAGCAUAUCAACAAGCAACCAUGUCUUUCAAAAUAUCAACGCUAAAAUGAGUUAUCCCUAGCCCAUUAUGAUCAAACAUUGAUCCAUUCAUGAAACACACUCGAAUAUUAGCUACACCCAAUACUUAAGUACGAUCAUAUUGCCUCCUAGUUGGUGCUUUUUAUAAGAGAAGAUGGAGACUCAAAUUCAAAAAUAAAAAUUGCAUAAAGUAGAAGAAAGGCCCUUCGCAGAGGGAAGUAGGGAUUUAUAGAGGUGCCAGAGCUCAAAGCGAAAAACUUAGAGAUAAAUACAUUUUGGGAAGUGUAUCCAUCCCACCAACUAAUAGUUCCCAAUAUUUUCCAUGCAUAGAUAUAUCAUAGGCGGUUCCCAAAUAGAAAAUAAAGAUUAUUCCUUUUUCCACCAUAACGUUCGCUUUCCAUGGCUAACCGUAUCCACGGGUGCCCUCCAUACCAACACUUUCCAAGGAAUUUAUUAUUUGACAACAUAAAGUAAAUUCAUUUUUGCAUUUCGGGACUGGGCAUCCCUAAUACCUUUGCUUUACUCUCGUGUAAUGACAAGUGAAUAAACACUCAUCUUGAGAAUAACAUAUCUAGCAUGGAAAAUAUUAGCCACCCCUCACCGCUCCGCGAGCGAAACAAACACACAAAAGAGAAGUUUAUUUUGAAAAUUAGAGAUGGCACAUGCAAAUUUGCUUAGAACAACAAAAGAAUACCACAUAUAGGUAGAUAUAGUGGACUCAUGUGGCAAAACUGGGUUAAAGGUUUUUGGAUGCACAAGUAGUGAUCAUACUUAGUGCAAAAUGAAGGCUAGCAAAAGAUUGGGAAGUGACCAACUAAGAAACAGAUAAUCUCAUAAGCAAGCAUUAAGCAUAAUUAACACCGAAUAAUGCACCACAAGUAGGAUAUAAUUUUCAUUGCAUGAUUAUUGACUUUCAUGCAUGCAUAGGGAAUCACAAACCUUAACACCAAUAUUCUUAGUAGAGCACAAUUGCUCAUCAACAUAACUCACAUAUCACAUCAUCAUAUCUCAAAACUAUUACUAAGAAUCAAGUUUAUUUUGUCCAAUGAUCUUCAUGACAUUUUUUUCUUUAUCCUUCUUGGAUAUCUAUCACUUUGGGACUAAUUUUCAUGUGUUUCUUUUCAUAAGCUCAAACAAAUAUAAGUGAAGAUCAUGAGCAUAAUAAAUUUUUCUUUCUCUCAAAAUAAUUUAAGUGAAGCAAGAGAGAAUUUCUUCAAAAAUACUAAGCACACCAUGCUCAAAAAGAUAUAAGUGAAGCACUAGAGAAAGUCCUAGCUCAUAAAAAAAUUUAAGUGAAGUAUAGAGAGCAAUUCUAACAAGUCAUGUCAUAAUUUUGGCUCUCUCUAAUAGGUGUGUCCAGCAAGGAUUGAUGACUUAAAACACAAAAUAAAACAAGCAAAGGCUCAUAUCAUACAGGACGCUCCAAGCAAAAAACAUAUCAUGUGACGAAUAAAAAUAUAGUUUCAAGUAAAAUACCGAUGAUCGUUGGAAGAAAGCGGG
rnacentral:lncRNA from 1 species